UACGUAGGGCGCAAGCGUUGUCCGGAAUUAUUGGGCGUAAAGCGCGCGCAGGCGGUCCUUUAAGUCUGAUGUGAAAGCCCACGGCUCAACCGUGGAGGGUCAUUGGAAACUGGGGGACUUGAGUGCAAAAGAGGAAAGCGGAAUUCCACGUGUAGCGGUGAAAUGCGUAGAGAUGUGGAGGAACACCAGUGGCGAAGGCGGCUUUCUGGUCUGUAACUGACGCUGAGGCGCGAAAGCGUGGGGAGCAAACAGG
rnacentral:rRNA from 1 species